AGGGUUCGAUCAUGGCUCAGGACGAACGCUGGCGGCGUGCCUAACACAUGCAAGUCGAACGGAGAAUUUGCUAAGCUUGCUUAAAAAAUUCUUAGUGGCGGACGGGUGAGUAACGCGUGGGUAACCUGCCCAUGAAACCGGGACAACCCUUGGAAACGAGGGCUAAUACCGGAUAAUCUUAGGAUGUGGCAUCACAUUUUAAGGAAAGAUGGCCUCUGAAUAUGCUAUCGAUCAUGGAUGGACCCGCGUCUGAUUAGCUAGUUGGUGGGGUAAAGGCCUACCAAGGCGACAAUCAGUAGCCGGCCUGAGAGGGUGAACGGCCACNCUGGGACUGAGACACGGCCCANACUCCUACGGGAGGCAGCAGUGGGGAAUCUUCCGCAAUGGACGAAAGUCUGACGGAGCAACGCCGCGUGUAUGAUGAAGGUCUUCGGAUUGUAAAG
rnacentral:rRNA from 1 species